UUAAAAACUGUGAAUGAGAGAGUAGAUAUUAAAAGAGUUUUAAGGGAGAGAAGGUCAUAGACUGCAAGCCUUCUUAAAUUAUAUGAUAUUGAAGUUCGCUCAGGAGUUCUAGCUGUGAAUUAUUAGUAGUAGCUAGCGGCAAGAAAAGUCGUUAAUAUUAAUUGAGUUGGGUAGCUUGUUAAAUUUAUCAAGUUCCAAUUAGGGUGGUAACGCGGAUUAAUUCGUCCCUUUU
rnacentral:ncRNA from 1 species